AGCCUGGGCAAUGGCGGGCGCCCCUCCCCCAGCCUCCCUGCCGCCUUGCAGUUUGAUCUCAGACUGCUGUGCUAGCAAUCAGCGAGACUCCGUGGGCGUAAGACCCUCCGAGCCAGGUGCGGGAUAUAAUCUCGUGGUGCACCGUUUUUUCAGCCCGUCGGAAAAGCGCAGUAUUCAGCAGCCAUAUUUUGAGAUUCUCCUAUGUACCUGAAUCUUCAGAGAGCACAGUCCCCCAAGAUCCAUGCAGGUAACAAGUGGUGCCCCAGAACAGGGACUCUGAGGACGUCGACAAGUGACGUCUGAACACAGGGACUUCAAGGAUUUGAAUGAAGAACGUCUGCUGGAGCAGAUAAACUGAAAUUGACAAGGCGAACGGGGACCCCAGGAUGAAUCUACAAGCAGUGGAUAUAAGCUGGACUCCACACAUGCAAAGUACUGGACCCUUCCUUUGAAUCCACCACUGUUACCCCUGGAAGUUGGAUGUUUCUGCUGGCAUUCUUCCCAUCAUGGACUCUGUGCAGAAGUUGCCUCCUAUGGUUUGAAUGUGUUCCCCAUAGUUCAUGUGUUGGGAACUUAAUGACUAAUGCAACAGUGGUGAGAGGUAGGUCCUCCCUUUAAGAGGUGAUGCGGUAAUGAGGGCUCUGCCCCCAUGAAUCGAUUAAUGUUGUUAUCAUGGACAUGGGUACAUUAUCUCAAGAGUGGAUUUGUUAUAAAAGUGAGAUAAGCCCUUUCUUGCUCCCUCUUGCUCUUGUGCUCUGUUGCCCUUCCACCUCUCACCAUGGAAUGAAGCAGAAAGAAGUUCCCAGCAUCAGGCUCUUGAACUUCCUAGCCUCCAGAACUGUGAGUCAAAUAAACUUCUAUUGUUC
rnacentral:lncRNA from 1 species